rnacentral:rRNA from 1 species
GAUGAACGCUGGCGGCGUGCCUAAUACAUGCAAGUCGAGCGAACGGACGAGAAGCUUGCUUUUCUGAUGUUAGCGGCGGACGGGUGAGUAACACGUGGAUAACCUACCUAUAAGACUGGGAUAACUUCGGGAAACCGGAGCUAAUACCGGAGAAUAUUUUGAACCGCAUGGUUCAAAAGUGAAAGACGGUCUUGCUGUCACUUAUAGAUGGAUCCGCGCUGCAUGAGGUUGUUGGUAAGGUAACGGCUUACCAAGGCAACGAUGCAUAGCCGACCUGAGAGGGUGAUCGGCCACACUGGAACUGAGACACGGUCCAGACUCCUACGGGAGGCAGCAGUAGGGAAUCUUCCGCAAUGGGCGAAAGCCUGACGGAGCAACGCCGCGUGAGUGAUGAAGGUCUUCGGAUCGUAAAACUCUGUUAUUAGGGAAGAACAUAUGUGUAAGUAACUGUGCACAUCUUGACGGUACCUAAUCAGAAAGCCACGGCUAACUACGUG